rnacentral:tRNA from 1 species
GCCCCUGUAGCUUAAUGGAUAGAGUGCUGGGCUUCGGACCCAGUGAUGAGGGUUCGAUUCCUUCCAGGGGCA